rnacentral:rRNA from 1 species
GACGAACGCUGGCGGCGCGCCUAACACAUGCAAGUCGAACGAGCGAGAGAGAGCUUGCUUUCUCGAGCGAGUGGCGAACGGGUGAGUAACGCGUGAGGAACCUGCCUCAAAGAGGGGGACAACAGUUGGAAACGACUGCUAAUACCGCAUAAGCCCACGGGUCGGCAUCGACCAGAGGGAAAAGGAGCAAUCCGCUUUGAGAUGGCCUCGCGUCCGAUUAGCUAGUUGGUGAGGUAAUGGCCCACCAAGGCAACGAUCGGUAGCCGGACUGAGAGGUUGAACGGCCACAUUGGGACUGAGACACGGCCCAGACUCCUACGGGAGGCAGCAGUGGGGAAUAUUGCACAAUGGGGGAAACCCUGAUGCAGCGACGCCGCGUGGAGGAAGAAGGUCUUCGGAUUGUAAACUCCUGUUGUUGGGGAAGAUAAUGACGGUACCCAACAAGGAAGUGACGGCUAACUACGUGCCAGCAGCCGCGGUAAAACGUAGGUCACAAGCGUUGUCCGGAAUUACUGGGUGUAAAGGGAGCGCAGGCGGGAAGACAAGUUGGAAGUGAAAUCUAUGGGCUCAACCCAUAAACUGCUUUCAAAACUGUUUUUCUUGAGUAGUGCAGAGGUAGGCGGAAUUCCCGGUGUAGCGGUGGAAUGCGUAGAUAUCGGGAGGAACACCAGUGGCGAAGGCGGCCUACUGGGCACCAACUGACGCUGAGGCUCGAAAGUGUGGGUAGCAAACAGGAUUAGAUACCCUGGUAGUCCACACCGUAAACGAUGAUUACUAGGUGUUGGAGGAUUGACCCCUUCAGUGCCGCAGUUAACACAAUAAGUAAUCCACCUGGGGAGUACGACCGCAAGGUUGAAACUCAAAGGAAUUGACGGGGGCCCGCACAAGCAGUGGAGUAUGUGGUUUAAUUCGACGCAACGCGAAGAACCUUACCAAGUCUUGACAUCCCUUGACAGGCAUAGAAAUAUGUAAUCUCUUCGGAGCAAGGAGACAGGUGGUGCAUGGUUGUCGUCAGCUCGUGUCGUGAGAUGUUGGGUUAAGUCCCGCAACGAGCGCAACCCUUAUGGUCAGUUACUACGCAAGAGGACUCUGGCCAGACUGCCGUUGACAAAACGGAGGAAGGUGGGGAUGACGUCAAAUCAUCAUGCCCUUUAUGACUUGGGCUACACACGUACUACAAUGGCGUUAAACAAAGAGAAGCAAGACCGCGAGGUGGAGCAAAACUCAGAAACAACGUCCCAGUUCGGACUGCAGGCUGCAACUCGCCUGCACGAAGUCGGAAUUGCUAGUAAUCGUGGAUCAGCAUGCCACGGUGAAUACGUUCCCGGGCCUU